AACGAACGCUGGCGGCAUGCCUAACACAUGCAAGUCGAACGAGACCUUCGGGUCUAGUGGCGCACGGGUGCGUAACGCGUGGGAAUCCGCCCUUGGGUUCGGAAUAACAGUUAGAAAUGACUGCUAAUACCGGAUGAUGUCUUCGGACCAAAGAUUUAUCGCCCAGGGAUGAGCCCGCGUAGGAUUAGCUAGUUGGUGGGGUAAAGGCCUACCAAGGCGACGAUCCUUAGCUGGUCUGAGAGGAUGAUCAGCCACACUGGGACUGAGACACGGCCCAGACUCCUACGGGAGGCAGCAGUGGGGAAUAUUGGACAAUGGGCGAAAGCCUGAUCCAGCAAUGCCGCGUGAGUGAUGAAGGCCUUAGGGUUGUAAAGCUCUUUUACCCGGGAUGAUAAUGACAGUACCGGGAGAAUAAGCCCCGGCUAACUCCGUGCCAGCAGCCGCGGUAAU
rnacentral:rRNA from 1 species